rnacentral:lncRNA from 1 species
CAUUUCCUAACCUUUCCUUUUUCUUCACUCUUCAUUUAUUGGUCCAGCUUCUCAGGUUGAACCGAGAAGCUGAUCGAUUCAGCCGCAUUGCAAGAAAAAUGGAUUUUAUGAAGAAAGGCACUGGAUGUUUCCUCUGCUUUUUUAUUUUUUGUAUGUAACUGGUUUGUACCAACAAAAAAGUUACGAGACUUGGCGUAAUCGCACGGGUAAAGCUUAGUGAAAACAAUUUUACGAUGUCAGUUUCUGUUGUGAUAUACACAUCCACAUCAGUUGCAUUUGAUUGAAAUUCAUGAUUUGGAAAAGUUAAUGAAAUUUUGUGGACAUUCAUUUCAUUUGCAAUGCAACUUAGACCUUAUUGGCAAUUGGUUUGUGGACACAAGAUUUACUACUUAAUUUGGAUACCUUGUCAAAUUAGAGUCAAUAAUUAACAAUGGCAUAUCUAGUAAGAAGUUAUUUCUGCAUGCCUCCCUUCCCAUUUCCUACGGCUGUUUAGCUUGCAAGCACACAAAUCAUUUGUAAUAAAGAUAUGCAAAUACGAGAUCAAAUUCAUCGAGAUUGAAUGAACAAUAAUUUGGUAUCUUAUGUUUAGCUGCGGACAUGACUGACCUCAGGAGGUCUCAAUGGAAAAAAUUUCAGAAAAAAUGUAGACAAAAGUAACAUUGAGGAAUUAAAUGAUAAUUCUUUUCAUUCGUAAAUAAUAGUGUAAACAAUGUUAUUACAAUCUACAAAGUCCAAAAUUAUCAUCGACGAGUUUUCAUAUUUUGAAAAUGUUUAUGAUAGUUUCAUACUCAACGAUCAAUCCACAACUCUAAUAACUGAAAUUUGAGAAUAAUGAGUACAAAUAGUGAACUUGAUACACUAGGAAGCUUAAGGAGGUCCCAGAAAGUCCAUAUUCGGGGCCUUCAUGCAUGGACUCGAGUGUUUCUUAAUCAUCUAAUCAGAAGCCGAUUGUUUAUACCAGUCAAUCGACGUCCCAGAAAGUCCGCUCUUCUGCUUCGACGUUGCUGAACCCGCUCUACCAUGGAGACGGCUCCCUCCUCGUCUUCCUACCCAUGGCACGGGUUUAGUCCUCCUUGAUGGUCAGCUAAUGUUCACCUAAGCUUUCGCACUUAGUAAACAAGCCUUCACUAGUUGCCUGGAACAUAACUACUAUUACUAUGAUGAUUAUUACGCCGACCACCACGGCGUUUAUAAUGCUUCUGGUUCUAAUUGGGGUGUAGUAGCCUGUCAACUGUCCAGUACCGAUUCCGAUGACUUCGGAACUUGGAUUAAGCCCAUCCAAAUUCUGGAGCCAAGGUUGCCGAGUGAAUUUUGGGGGCGAUGCACACUUAUAGCUUUGCUCAUCUAGGAGGUUCAAAAGUAUGCUUUGUUCUUUCCAAUCCCAUCUCGCACCCAAAAAAAAUUUGUCUUUGGAAGGUGCGUCUUCUUGUUCAAACUUUUGAGUUUUCCUUCUCCAAACAAAGUACCACCCUCACUAGUGCUGCUUUAUUUUAUUGUUUUUUAUUUUUUGUUUUUUUUGGAAAACCUUAAUGGUAUAAGGGUAAUUUUAUUGAUAACAAAAAAAUAAGUUACACCUAGACAGAAGGGGACAUAAACCUUACCCCUCAUAAAACAGAGACAAUAAAUAGGAAUACACGAAAAAGAAGGGGGAACAUAAACCUUACCCUUCUAGAAAUAAAAAACGAGAAUGAUACAAAGAAAAGAGGGGGGGGACAUGAAACAUAAUCCCUCUAAAACCAAACCUAAAGGUCUAAACUUGCAAAACAAGUCAAACAACCCCAUAAAGUUAGGAGAAAAAAAAAAGUGAGACAAACCUGGAUGCCGACAUGCACAUUAAUUUGAGAAGCAAUAACCAGGCAAGCCAACAUAGUCUGAAAACAAAGCAGCACAAACCGCCAUCGGAGGAGAAUCAUGCCAAGUUAAAGAUGGAGAAGACAAUCCCAUGUUAGCAAAAUUGUCUGCAACAAGAUUUACUUCACGAUGUACAUGAGAUACAUAGAAAGUCAUUUUCCGAAUACGAUCUAAACAAAUAGACCAUUGCGUAUGAAGAGGCCAAGGAGGAUCAAAAUUAGACGAUUGAAGAGCAUAAAUAACACUAGAACUAUUACUUUCAAACCAAAGACAAUGCCAACCCUAUUGAUAUGCAAACUCAAUACUAAUAAUAAUUGCUAAUAACUCUGCAAAAAAAAAAAAAAAAGUUGCGAUGACCAAUGCAUUGACAGAAACCUCCAAGAAAACAACCAUGACAAUUCCUGAAAAAUCCUCCACAUGUAGCAGGAUCAGAAUUUCCUUUAGACAAACCAUCUGUAUUAAGCUUAAACCAAGGAAACCAAAGGACAGGAAGAAUAGUAGGUGCCUUGCGAGGGAUAGGUUGGAUCCCCAAAGAAGAAAUGAUCCGAGUGUCAAAACCUUGAGAAUAACCAGAAAUAAACUUCCCACCAUGAACAAUCGCCGAAUUGAUAGAAAUGCAAAAGACGAUGAAAAUAGAUUGGACGACCCUAAAAAAUAAAUUUAUUUUGAGCCUUCUAAAUAGCUGAAAUAGUAGAAAGACCCGCAAAAAUCCAUAGAUUGUGCAACUGUUUGGAAAAUGGCUUACAGACAUAGACAUCCCAAAAAACAACCAAAGAAUCUGAAAGAGGCAAAAAUGUACCAAAUUAACAUACUAACCACCUCCAAAGUUGCCUAGAUAUCUGACAUCCAAUGCUGCCGAUGAUGGUGAUGAUUAUAAUUAUAAUGAUGGAGGCUGCGAUUCAAAAAGAUCAUUCGAUUUCUCCUCUUUCAAAGCCGACAUCCUCUCCACUCGCAACUUUGAAUACGAUUGGUGCGGAGAAUCUUUUGAGACUGCUCACGCAGCCGUGCUUGGUUGCUUUGCCCUGUAAGUUUCGUCGGUAAGGUUAACUUUCCAAUUCUAUCCCAUUUUCUGUAUUUGCUUUCUCCUGCGUGCGGCCUUAACUUGUAACUGUACUACGUAGGAAAGCAUUAGUCAAUGUAUUUCCUGUGCACACACUAUCACUUGAGGAACAAGUUCGACUGCAUUGUUUGCGAUUUAAGUCAAUCUAGACCCUGCAUUGCAACUCGCAUUGGGUCUUACUGGAACUACUUACAGCGAGCAUGCAAAACCCCCUGCGUGUUGAUUGAGGUUCUGAGGGGGAACACUCCAUCAAGCACGUUGAAGAUAUGGUCUGUAGCAGCAUUGCUUGGAAAUUGGAAAUUGGAGAUCUGCCUAGCUAGCUACUAUUUCUGUGUCUAGCUCCUCAUGUAGUUUUCUGUUAGGUAAUUUUUUUUUUUUUUUAAAUGGAAGAACAGGCAUUUUAUUAAAUAAAAAAAAAUAUUUAGUCAUAUUUUUAGGCUUAUUAUAUUUAUACCCUACAUAUUGUUGAAUAAACCUUAUAUACUUAAUACACCUCAUAUUUACUUUUUCAAUUAAAAUUUAUCUUAAUACACCCCAUUUACUUUCCCAUAUUACCCUCCCACCCCCAUUCUCAACAUACACCUUACAUUUUCUAUAUACACCCCAAAUUUUUUAUAACUCAGUCACAAUCAAGAUUGGAGGAAGAUAAGGCUGCUGAGACUUUGUUGAAGGUGGCAGACGAGGUUAUACGCUGAGGUUUAAUGACAAAAAUUCGAGGGUAAAAGCAGCAAGGGAAAGGAGAACAAUUAGAGGGUCUCUUGUAAUGUGAAUGGCACUAGGACUUUGCCCAGAUUGGCAAAAACGUAGCUGAAUGUUGAUGUAGUUUUAUUGCAUUUUCAGAUGUAUGAAAAAAAAAAACAUAUUUAUUUAUUGGUGUUGAAUUGCAGAACAAAGAUUGUGUUUAGCCAUUUUAUUACUAUUAUCAUUUCUUUAAAUUGGGGUUAUGCCGUGAGAUGAUAUACAUAAGGAAAUAUUGUUAAUUUCUUCGCACUCCAUUCAAGUUCUAACCUUGUAGUUUCAUCAUUUUGCUUGCCUUUGCUGGGAAGACAAAAAAAAUAGAUAAAUAAUACGUUAAAAGUGAUUUGAGGUUUAUUCAGAAUUUUUUUAUAUUUUUAAAAAACUAAUAAGGUCAAAAUUGACAUUGUAUAGAGUGUAUAAGUUAUUUAAUAUCGAAUUUGAAUGUGAGGUGUAUUUAUCAGUACGGAUGUGUACAUCUUUUAUUGGCACGGAAGUACUUAUCGAUUAUGCAUUGAAUUUUUUAGUAAUUUAAUUCAAAAUGUGAAGUAGCUUUUGUAAAGUUACCGAAAGCGCCGUGACGGAGAUGAAGAUGGAAAUGGUGUAAAACUUUUGACGAGUUGAACCGAAAGCGCCGUGACGGAGAUGGAGGUGGAGAUGGAGAUGAGGGCCGGGGAAGAAAUAGAGAUAGGACAAGACAUAACGCCACCGCUCCCUCCGCUUUCUUCCUCUCUCCACCACUCCCUCCUCUCAUCUCACUGCUCUUCCUGCUUCUCCCCUCUCCCUCCCCAACCCUUCCCUCCCCUCUUUACUCCUACCUUUCCCAACACUCCCUCCUCCUACUACUGCUCCUCCCUCUGCUCCUCCGCCGAUUCUCCCCUCCACGUCUCCAGCGCCGAGCCCUACCUUCUCCUGCUUCUCCAAUCCCACCCCUCCGCCUACCCCAACGGCGACUCCUCCGACCUCCGCGCCGCCCUCCGCCUCCUCCAAUCCCUUCCCGCCACCUCCCCCUACCCUCGCGUAGCCGGCCUCCUGACGAAUCGCCACAAACUCCUCCACCACCACGACCAUAGGGUUCGCGACGGCGCCAGAGCCAUGUUCCUCGCCAGGAAGAUGCGGGAUGAAUCUCCGAAUUUCUCUAUCGAUGCGACUAUUGCCAACGUUGCUCCGCACGACGCCGUAUUGGAGGAGGCCGUGCUGUCAUUGGUGCUAACGAACGCCGUGGAGGUGCAGGAUAAGACCGGGCGCACCCUUGGAAUUUCCGUCUACGGUCCCAGCUUCUGCUGGAUCAACCACAGCUGCUCCCCGAAUGCUUGCUACCGCUUUUCUUUGAUGACACCGCCAACGCCACCUUGUUGGCCCGAAACGGCGCUGCUGCGCAUUGUCCCCUUCGGCCGCUCCUCCGGUCGUGCCACACAAGUAAUCCCUGCAAAUUUGCACCGUUUGUUUAAUUUAUAGUGGAAUAAGAUUGAAAUUCAGGGUUGUGAGAUGGAUAUUUGUUGCAGAUUGAGAAUGGUGUUUGUAGCAAUAAUGUGUUAGCAAAAGGUGUUGUGGUUUUUUUAAGUUUUCGUGCUUCUUUUCGGUUUUUGUUUGUUUGAAUUAGUACACCAAAUUUACCAGUAUUAUUGAACCAUUCGUGUAUAUUACGAAUGUAGAAAGCCGAGGUUAUGGUCCAAGAGUGACGGUUAGGAGCAUCAAGAGAAUCAAGAAAGGCGAAGAAGUGACUGUUACUUACACUGAUUUGUUGCAGCCUAAGGUAUCUGCAUUUUAUCUAUAUACACAUUAUACAUGGAUCAGCGAUUGGAAUUUUGAAUUCAUAUAAUCCACAUCUGUUUUGUCAAGUUAACUGAGCGAUGUUUCGAUGACUGUGAGAUGAGAAUUUGCUAGUGUCAUUUUCUGCUUAUUGUCCCUGUCUUAGGAAACUAAACUUGAUGAGACAAUGCAAGGCAAUCCGACUUCUUUCCACUUUAGGGAUUAGCUAAAUCUUGCCCCAUUUGACUUUUCUUUUACUUAUUUCCAAUUUUAAUUGUGUUGAUGUUAUAUUUUAAUCCCUUUCUUUUAACGUCACAUUUUCUUUUCUUCUCAUGAGCUCCUCCAGGCAAUGAGGCAGUCAGAGCUAUGGUCAAGGUAUCGGUUUAUCUGCUCUUGUACGCGAUGUAGUGCAUCACCCCUAACCUACGUGGAUCAAGCUUUGGAGGUGGCAAUUCAUGAAAACUUUUUCUUUCUUUCUUGAUAUUCUCAAUUAAAUACUAAUUCUUAAGUCUAUUUGGAGUUCUUCCGUAAUAUCUUUAUACUAUUGAUUUUACAGAAAUUAUAAAUGCACUAGGAUAUUUGUACUUCUAGAUUCUUGUUUUUGUAUCCCCCCCUGUAUAUAGUUUGGCCUUCACUUUGAACAAAAGCUCUUUUUCAACUUGAACAUGAAUUACCUCCUAACCAUUUUUCUUCCUCUCUGGCAGUCAACUUUAUUUCCUAGGAUGUAGCUAAUGUUCUUAUUGGUGUUUUUUGAAUAAUCAUUAACCUUCGGUUUCAAAACUCCAGGAAAUAUUUGCAGUCAAUUCCAACUCCUCCAGUUUGAGUUUAGAAAUAAACUUCAAUAGAGAUAAGGCAACGCAAUUGUUGAGUGUUUACUUUGAUGAUGCUAUUGACGACUACCUGUCGAGUGGCGAUCCUGAAUCUUCUUGUGAGAGGCUUGAGCAUGCGUUCACACAAGGACUCUCUGAUAUGCAAUUAGAUUGCAACGGAGAAACAUCUCAGCUGAGAUACUGGUUGCACCCAUUAAAUUACCUCUCCCUAAAUGCCUACACAACAUUGGCUUCAGCGUAUAAAAUCCGUGCAACUGACAUGAUAGCUUUAUGUUCUAAAAUGGAUGAUCAUCUGUUAAAAGCUUUGAACUUAAGCAGGACUAGUGCAGCAUACUCCUUACUACUUGCUGGUGCAACUCACCAUCUGUUCCGCUCUGAAUCGUCUCUAAUUGUAUCUGUUGCAAAUUUCUGGACAAGCGCAGGGGAGUCAUUGUUAACUCUUGCUAAAAGCUCAGUCUGGAGUGAGUUUGUCCACCGGGAUCUGCCUGUGUCAAAUCCAUGUUCCACUGCAAGUUAUAGAUGUCCAAAAUGCUCAUUGAUAGACAAAUUUGAAGCUUGUUUAUUCUAUGGUCAAGUUCAACAUGCAGAUUUUGACGAUGUCUCAAGUGAAUUCAUUGAUUGCGUCUCUAACUUUACACAGAAUGUUUGGAAUAUUUUGGCUCUCAGUUGCCAGUACCUUAGAUUGAUUAAGAGUCCUAUUGAUUUCAGUUGGCUUGGUACCACAAAAGAUUCCAGUGUAGGGGAAGUUCUGAUUCGGUCUAGUGGCACUAAAGCGGGUUCUUGUGGGACUGAGAGAAGCAUUUCUGGAAGUGAAGCAGAGGGAUACACAGCCCAGGUACGGAUAUGUAUUUUUAAGCUCGGUGUCCAUUGCUUACUAUAUGGAGGAUAUCUAGCGAGCAUAUGUUAUGGUAAUUCCCAUUUGACCUGUUAUGUUCGUAAUAUUUUAGAUAUGGAAGGGAUAUUAUUGAAUCCUUGUCAUGAACCAAAUUGAGUUUGAGAUCUUAGAAGUUAAAUUAUUCCUGUUUUGGUGUUAAUUGCUGUGUUAUUAUACUCGUUAAGAAUCUGUUAAAAAUGUUGGUUGCAUAUAUCGUCUUCUCUGCUUGUGAUUUUUCGCCUCGAACUCUAUUCGUCUUGCAUGAUGCCCCAAGGAAUCAGCCACACGUAUCAGAAGUUUGUGUCAACGGAUUCAAUUUGAUAGACUACAGUGGGUUUCAAAAUAGAAUAAUCCGCUAUAGCUGUUUCAUAUAUCAUUUCGGUUCAGUCAAAUUAAAGAACCAAAAUUGAAAUCACAAUUGGAUUCGAUUUGGAAACAUCUGAAAUACAAAAUUGAAACCACAAUCGAAUUAAAGAACAAAAAUUGUCAUCUCCUGAUGCAUCCCUGUUUCUAUUUGUGUUCGUGUUUGUGUCAAAAAUACAUCGUAAGAAUGUUAUAACAGUUGCAUACUUAAAGCGACGCCCUACUGAAUGUUACAAUAGAUGCAUACAAGACCGUCGCUAAUGUCAAUGUUUCUUCUUUUUGUUGGACUUUGAGUUGGAGCCAUGCUCAUUUUUAUGUCGCUUUUCCCCACUCUUGUGACUCUCUCUCUGUUUUCCUUUAUCCAUUUUGUUUCUACUUGAUUUCACGCUAACGAGACCACCAGCAGGUAGGUUUGCACCGCCAUUCUGUAAUGCAUUCUCAAAGUCUGCAUCUCUGUCCCCAAUCGCGUACUGUUGAAGCAACUUGGGAUCUAAUGACCCCUCCGAGUUGGAUCUCAUCCCAUCCUGUAUGUGCGUAGUCAAGUCAGCCCAACUCUUGGGAUUCAGAACGCGGGAAAGAGAGGCAGUUCAGGUAACACGAAGGUAAGGAAGGAAUAAAGCGUACCUCAACUUUUCUUGCAGCAUCAUUGAGAUCAUCAUCAACAGAGAUCUUGUGAGGUUCCAAGAGAGUCUGAACCAAAAUUUCCGAAUCAGAGUGGAGUUACAACAUAGGCAGAAGAAAAGCACAGUAGCAUACAUACACGCACGCACGCACAAUUAUAAUGUGAUAGACGAUGUUUAAGCUUGCAUUAAGAAACACAAUAAUGUAAACUUAGCGAUUACAUAUCAAACAAAAUAGUUCAGGUACCAAAGUGGCUCACGCGCAACACACAUGUCAAUAUCAUAUAGUUAAGCCAACUAGAAUCAUAAUGCAUCCUACGACAUGAAAUUAUUAGAAAGAGAUGGAAACCACCAACAUAUCAUGUACUUUCCAUAAGAAAAAAAAGGGUUACUGCUUUGCUGAACUUACUUCUUUUGGUUUAGGCAAGGUUGACACAAGGCCCUCAGAUGCAAUAGCGUAUAGAUAUUUGUGAAACUUUUUCAUAACUUUUAUAAACAGAGACAAUAUUUGCUGCCUUUCCAGUUUCAUCAACCCCUGGAAAACGUGAAUGUAAGUAAAAAUCUACACCUGAUAAGAAUGAAAUAAAGAGCAGAAAUGACGCCACCAAGUAGAGUGUUUUGUCUUUGCAAGUGGGUUUGAUUGCGUGCUCGCAUUGCAUCUAUGUGACUGGUAUAGCCAAGCAAACCAUAUGAGUAACAAGUAGAGAAACAAACCUCAAUAUAGGAGAUAUCUUGAUUCUGUAAGCCAAUGCAGAGCAAUAUGGAAGCCUGGGCACCUGUCAAUGUCACUGGAAGUUUCUCUUGGAAAUACAGAUGUGAAAGCGUUGGAACAAGAUCCAAAAUCUGUAAAAUAAAAGCAUAACUUUAACAUGUGUAAAGUUAUAAACAAACGAUAACUAGAGUACAAGAGGACCUCAGUUUAGAAAAUGACACUUAAUUUCAAAUUCAAAUGGACCCCAGGGUUUAAACUGUAAUUUUAAAAACAAUUCGCAGGUAAUUUGAAGAAAGUAAGGUCUGUUGGUUAAGGAUGAAAAUGCAAUAAGCCCUCGGAUCCCUCCUCCCCACUAUCAUCUAUGCCUAACAGGAGGAAGAACAUCUUGACACAUUCAAACUGGCAGCCUUUCCCAAAAAACAGAAGGAAGCAGAUAAUCCACUCAAACCAUAAUCAACAAAAAUGGACGACAUGCCAUUGACCAGGAUGCACUGCACCUUCCUGAGAACCGCACAACAAAUGGGUUCACCUCCCUCAGGGGCAUACCCACAAGGGGGUGGGAUUGGGUGGGAGGGGAAGAGAAGGGGUCUAAUAGCCUAAUCGCUGUUGAUUUCAUCUUUUUAUGUAACACAGAGCACGGGAUGAAACAUCGGCCACAGAAUCCUACACACAAAUUACUUGUAAAGUACACAAAUUCCCCUUCUCAAACAAGCAAUUUUGAACUUUUAAUGUGUAACUGAACAUAUAUAUACAUAUAAUUAGAUCAAUAACUAAACACAAUGUCCUAAUAGUUCACUUUUGAAAAAGAUUAUUCAUAAAACAUUGCAAGAGUAAUAUAUGUUCACAAUCAUGGUAUCAGAUUGUCCACAGUAAGAAAACAAAUAUUUCACCACUGUCAACUAAAAAUUGUAUCACAAUCACAAUCAUAUUGCCACACUGAGACGAUAAUUCUAUCACAAAGGAAUACAAUUUUUCUUUUGUAAUGCAAUAUUACUUUCUUUUUCUAAAGGAAAGCAUAUUUUGUCUUGUAACGCAAAUAUCUUUUUUGAUUCUAAGGGAAGUAUUUCUUGUUCUGUAAUGCAAACAUUACUUCUAUUUUUAAUAUGAAUGUAUGGAAUCAAUUAGUAAUCCUAAGAUAAAAAAAUCCCAAAACACUACAUAGCACUAUGACAGGGCAAGUUGGCAAUCAACCAUUGUUCAGAGAACUUACCAUAUGAAAGUCAGCAAGACUGCUGGUGUAGGCCUCCAGUCGCUUCAUAUCAUAAGGCGAAAGUAAGUCUGUGAUAGACCGUAAGAAUCCAUCUGUGGUAGACGAUUUGGGUUCUCCAUCCUUGUAAUUGAUCUUAGGAUCUAAGAUGCUGGAAAAUUAUUAGUUAGUACGAGCACUUGAACAAUAAGCAUUUAUCAGAAUGGAACUUUUAAUAGUACCUCAUAGCGAGCCUAUAAUCCAUUGUACGAAAACUAUAACCCAAUAGUCUCAAAAAUCUUCUCCUGAAAUCUAGGUAGCCAACAAAUAAUCAAGCUGUGAACUGAAAUACAAAAAAUCUGCACAAAUUUAAAUAGAACAAAGGUUUUCCAAAGAAAAAUGGGCCCACCUAGGUUGAAUGGACGAAAAUCACUGGUUUCAAGUUCAUCAUUCUUCAAAGAUUUGAGGACCAUACACGUAUGCUCCCCGGUCACACCACUCUAUUACAUUGAAAAGAAAAAUGAAAAAUUAUUGUUUAAUCAGUCAUUCAUUCACAAAUGAUAAUAUUCAAAAAAACAGUAAACGGAAAAAAGGAUUCAGUAUGGAGAGGGGAAUCCAUCUUAACUGGAAUAUGUCCAAUAUAGAAUGGAGCAAACUUAUGUUUCCACCAAAACCUGAAAAGGUCCAAGGUAAGCCCAAAGGAGACACCAAUAUAAUGGAGCUUCUCUGGUCGCCUUUCACGAAGAUGAACAAGCAAAUGAGGAAGAUCUGUUCUAGGUUUUAUACUUUCUUCCAGCAAUGAAACCUAUAAAUAAAAUAGACAUAGGUAUCAUUCCGAUAAACAAUAUCAAGGCACAGGCGGCAGGUUGAUUAAUACCAAACAAACAAACCAAUACAUGAUAAUAUACUUUGAUGUCAUUAUGAUUAAAAUUAACACAACAAAUGAUCAUUCACAAAAGUUUGUCAAAUUAUAUUCAAACACAGAAAUUGUUCUACAAUCACCGGAAUGAAGCUUAACCAACUCAAACACUUCGACAGAACAAGAAUUGCAUUACCAGAAACCUAUGAGUUACAAAAUUGCCUCCAAUUGCAAUAAUAAUACAUAGAAUAGUCUCGUAUAAGCAGUUCUCCAACCUAUUAAUUAAAAAUAUUUAUAAAAAAAAAAAAACUAAGCUUGGUGAUUGUAGUUCACCUUCUCAGCAGCUUCUGUGACUCUGAGUGGGGGAGUCUCAACAUCUUCAACGUCCAGUUCAGAAAUAGGAGCAAACUGUCCUUCGUAGUACCUGAGGAGAAAUAAACCCUUAACACCCAUUUUUUCAAAUAUAAAAACAUAAAUGUGAAGCAUCAACUUUUAGAACCAAAGAGAUUCAGUGCAAUUUUCAUGUCAAAACACUUUUAUCUCAAUAAUGAAGUACUUAUGAGUUACAUUGAUACAAGAGCAAUGCAUCCCACAUAUCACACACAUUCCUUAUAUCUGGAUCCCCAACAAUAGCAAUCCAAUGUCACCCACAUAGCACAUGAUACAUACCAGAGGUGUCCCUAGAAUGUCCACAUCAGCCAUUCCUUAUAUCUGUGUCCCCAAAAACAUUUGCAGUAAAAAGUACAUGGACUUAUGAGCACAAAGGGAUAACGGACAUGUAUGGGUUGACUUGAGAGAUAAACCAAGUAAAGUAAGUUCAAGAAAAAAUCUAGGACCAAAUAGGAUACAAGGUCAGAAUCAGUGUGACCCAUCUAAAAAGUUAGGACCCCACAUUAAUUUGUGCAGUCAACAACGAGGAUCCAUCUUUGGAUUAUUAUCCUAAAACGCUCUAUCUUUGGAUUAUAUCCUAAAGUGCUGCUGGUUAAGCUUGUUUCUGGUUUUUCUCUGUUGGAAAUUUCAAUUACUAACGAAAUAUCCAAUCUUCAUUUAAACAUACAGAUUUAAACUCAACUGUUGGCACUGCAGACUCUUGGCCAUUGUUGGGAUUGAAAUAAGCUAGAGUUUCUCAAGAUAAAUGCGGAUGAGGUGGGUUUUAUUUGAGAUAGCGAAUUCCAUGUGUUUGUGGAUUUAUUGCCAAAGCAAUUUGGGAAGAUCCCUGCUGUUUCCUCCAGAUGGAUGGGGUUAUAAUUUCAUUGUAACUUUUCUGAAGUAAGUUUUAGUUGGACUCCUUUUCUUUGCAAUGGACAACUUCUCCUCCUUUCCUUUAGAAAAUGCUUUGCUUUGCUGAAUUUUUCGUAACUCUUAGAAAUGUAACCCAAACUAAGAUGAAAACCCCCAACAUGACCGUAUUUUAAUAUGCUAUCACUUCUAAUCCUCUAUAUCUUUCCACUUGUUUCUCCAACUACCAUCAUAUGACUCGAGAGUUGUAUUGUGAGAAAGUCAUCUGUAUAUCAAAACUGAAAUCAAAUGAUCAUCUCUUCAGCACCCACAUGGUCUAUGUUCUAUAGCUUUCAACCCAAGUGAACUGAAAGCAUGAGACUCACAUUUUGAGUUGCGACUUUAUGUGCCUGAGCCAGGGUGCAUAUGCAUGAUUGCUUUUCAUUCAUUUUAGAAAUCAUUUGAAGCAUUGCUUCAGACAUAUAAUCUUCAAUCUUUUCACCUUUUUUUUUAUGACAAACAGUAGCGUUAGUGGGUUAAAAGUUUAUUUGUUAGGGGGAGGGGAAUCGAUGGGCAUCAAACCCGCACCAGGGUGCAUAUGCAUGAUUGCUUUUCAUUCAAAGUGUAGCAAUAUGGGGCUAAAAGAAUCACUCAGUCAAUCUUUCUCAACACCUUAGGCAUCCACAUACACAUUGGGAUCAUGUAUGUGAUCUACAAAAACGUUUAGGUGGGGAAUAACUCAAAGAGGAGCAUACCUUGUCAAUAGUUCCACUGCUUGUGAUCCAUAUCCAAUCUACAACAACGAAAAAUAAAUUACCAUUUCAACAGAUCCCUGGUUAUAGAUUACCAUUUCAACAAAAUCCUGGUUAUACAUAUUGCUUUGGAAACCAUAAUGAGAGAAUACCUUCAUGGCACUUGGAUGUGUAGCAAUUCGUACAAUCCGAGCACCUGAAAGACUGGGAAAAACUGUGUCCUGAAAUUGCUCACAGAAUUUCCAUGGUAUCUGGUCACCAGAAGGCUGAUGACCAUCACUUAAACUUUUCAUUGCAGAUUCACGAGAGAUCUUUCCCUCAAGGCAGACCUAAGAACAAAAUGAUAGCACAUAAAAUGUUGAGCAUCAAAGAAUUAGUGUUUUAUAGAAGAUGAAGUACGUGUUUAAAGUGUUGUCCUUUAUUGCUAUUUCACAUAAGGUAAAAUUAUAAAUAAAAAAACUAAUAAAAUUUUGGGUAUGCGUUAAAUAACUAAAAGAAAUAAUAGUCCUGAACUAGGGGAAGACAGUCAAACCUGAAUGACACACAAAAUAUCAGGAAGCUGAUUUUUUGACUCAUCAACAGGGCCUGCACGUGCAAAUUAUAAUCAAGUCCAGCCAAAUAGCGGCAAAAAAAGAAAGACCAGUUCUAACGUAACAUAUAUACCAAGUAGCACAAACAGGUGGUGAGCCGGGGCAUCAGCCAUUAGUUGCAAAUCAUUUGGAGAAUUUUUGUAGUGGGAGGCAACAUAUAGAGCCAUCAUCCGCUGCAAGUAUUAGAAUAUGUAAGUUCACUAAUAUGAAAAUGAGAAUCACUAGUCUGACAUUACUUGAACAUGUAAUUACCUGUAAGAACAACUCGCUAUCUUUAUGAUAUGAAAAAAGCGUAUCACAGUUUACGUAGUACAGAUCGCACUCACUGGGUGCAGGUAACCUAGCCGCCAAGAGAGAGAGAAGAGAGAGAGAGAUCAUUAAUAAAGGUAAGGGUUAUAAUGGAGAUGGUUACAUCUUCCUCGGUUCUGACUGUCUAAGCAAAUGUUUUUACCCGUUAAGUUUAGGGAUAUAAUUUGUGAUAUCCAAGCAAAGUAAACCAUGAAGCCAGGAUUCAAUCGGAUCACCAGAAGCAUAUCUGAUAGAUUCUUUCAAUUCUAUCUUUUUGAAAAGACGACCUACAAUCAGGGACAUUUAUCAAUUCAGAAAAUUAUGUCCAAAUAUCACAAAAUAGUUUUUAAAAAAUUAUACAUUGCUCACUUGCAAGCGCCAACAGUUCAAGUAUUUCAGAAACAAUAAUGUUAAGAGAAAGCAGAAGAAACAUUGAAUUUUGAAAAUAAAUUCAAGUUUUGGGGGGAAAGGGGGAUUUUGAUCCAACCUAAUUCAAGAUGAGAAUACAAAACACGGCCAAUAAGGAAUAAGCAUACCAGAUGUAGGCCCCUUAGCAGACACUUGGCUUUGCUCUUCCAAUUGCUGUAGAAGUUUUAGGGACAAAGACCGACCAGUACCUUCAUAGCUUUCAGUGUAAAAUAAAUGUCCUUUAGUAUUUAAAUUGCACUUAGAUUUUUUUUUUUUUACCAAAAGUUGAAUUCAGAGUUGACUUAUAAAUAGAAAGACAUCAAGCAUGAGUCAAGGAAAAGUGGAAACAGCCCAUGAAAAGUGAAAGAUCUUUCAUUCCCCCCCGCGGCCGUAACAGAAAGUGAAAAAGUGAAGUGAAAUAUGUUUCAUGAGACUGUUAAAACCAAAAAAGAACACAUGAUAAGAAUACACGACAUGAAGGAAGAAGAACAUGGAUGAAUCUUACCCAUUAACAGUAGAUGAAAGGAAGACCAGAUAAGGACCAAGCAAAGACUUCACUACUGGUAGUGGAAUAGCAGCUGCUUCAUCAACAACCAACAGUUCAACUUGGGAAAGCUUUUCAUGCUCAUGUGGCCGUAUAUACUGCAAGUACAAGUAACAAAAGUAAAAAACAAAUAGCCCCAAAAGCAAUGAGCAGUACAAAGUUCUUUCUUUUAGGCUACAUGAGGUGUAAAGGUCUAGACCACCUCACAAUCUCACAGGCAUGUUGAGUGCCUCUAUACCAUACAUACUGGAUUAGUGCCAGGAAGACACAUUAGGUUGACCAAAAAGUUUGGCGUUUCAGGAACAUGCUUUUAGAAGCAAGCUUCAGUAAUCACAAACCAUCUAAAUUAUGUUCAAUAUGCUCACACCAAUAACAAAAAUGAUGCACUUGGGCAAAAGUACAAUAGAAUUUUUGGAGUAGUCAAACAAAGACAACCACUAAUCAUAUAUGAGGGCAUACGACAUUUGAUGGGCAAAAGGUGAACACACUCAUGGCUAUUGUGAUGCGGCUAUCCAAUAGAAGAAUAUUCUCUAUUACAACUUGGUUAUCAACUUUUCAUGAGUAACAAUUCCUCCAUGUAUUUGUAUUUUGGUAUCAACUGACUAAACAAAAUCUUUAUUGCUAUUUUUUUAUAGAAAACGAGAUUUUAUUAAACAGCUAAAAAACAAUACAACACUUAGUGGACUAGGAAGUCCACCAUCAAAACGAAACAGCCCUGACAUAUGCCUCAACAUUCACCUCCAUCAUUAUAAAACAGAUCUGCAACUAUCUCACUGCAACUCCCCAAUCCAACAAAAUUACAUAAAAUGAAAGAUCCCAAAACCUUGGAGAGAGAGAAGCCAUAAGAAUGCCCAAUUCUUUCCCAAGAAUUCUCUUGUAAAUCCCCACUCUAAUUUUCAAAGGUUGCAAACUUGAAAUUAACAUAGAAGGUAACUGGCUUCAGAGUCAACUAGGAUAAUACUGGGCAUAUAUGCAGAGAGUAGGCAUAGUAGCAACUUUCAGGGUAUGGAAUAAUACAAAAGGAAAGGGAAGACCACAGAAUUCUCUCAGUCAUCUUAACUUGAUUUGGUACUAAGAAUAAGUUAUGUAUACACUUCCCACUGGCCCAUCUGUACGUUAAUAUAGAAAUAGAUUAUAUCCUGGCAACAAGGAAGUGAAAUACUCCUAUUUUUAUAUCAAUAUUGGGCACAAAUUAAGAGUUCAUCAAUAUAAUUUUACCUCAAUUGUAACCAACUGUGCAUAUAAGUUUACCUGAAUUGUUUGUCUGUGCUGCUUGUAUAUAUUGAUCUGUACAGUUGCUUUCUUCAACAAAGGGUCACUACUUUUCUGUACAUCAUAAUCUAUAUGUUCCUGCAAACAUAGUUUACAACUGUAAGCUCAAUAACUAGUGCACUGUUCGAAGUACAUGAUUGAAAAAUGAAGAAAACGGAGUGACCUUAUAACAAUUAAUGAAAGAUAAAAUGUAGUUCACAGAAUAAAACAUUCAAACACCACCAUCUUGAUAGUUAAACAAUUUCACUGUAAAAGCUAUUAAACUUAGCAGGAAAAAAAAUUUAAACUUUAUCUAACAUUUGAAUCUACAAUUUUCAAUUAGCAACUCUUGUCACAAAUGUUUAUUAGUGGGGUACGUUCUAAGAUAUUGUUAUUUGCUAAUUGUCGAGGAUUAUUUGGGAGUUAAAUCUCACAAGAAGGCGUAAAGAUCACAUUAGAAUUAGAUAUUUUACUAGGAAGCUAAAGAUCACAUUAGAACCACCCGCAGGAAUACAAAAAAACGACAUACCUUAUAGUCCAGUUGAUCAAAACCCUUGCAAACAAAUUCGAACAAGGUUCUUAAGUUCUCAGGGCUGGGUGCAGUUACAAAUAUAUUUGAAUACCUGUGAAGAUAUAUUUGUAUCGUCAAAACAUAGUACAUGAAUAUGAGUGUAGACAGCUACACAUACACCAAAACAGUUUUAAUACAUUGUAAAAGGCAUACUACCCUGCAGCAAUAGCUCCGGAAAUUGCCAAACCAAGUGCAGCCGAUUUUCCACGGCCUCGAGCAGCAAGCAAGGCAACAGUACUUCGGAGUGUCUUGUCCAAGAUUGCAUCAAGAAAUGUAGCAACAGCAUUUCCCUGUUGAAACAUUUACCAACUCAAACUAUGAGUCAUAUUAGUAAAUCACACAUGAUAGAAAAACUCAAAACUAAUACAAAUCAGAGAGAGUGCCUACCUGGUCCAACGUACAACAUUUCUUUAUUAAAGGGCCAACAGGAAAGGCAUCACUCAGCUGCUCUUUUAGAUCCUUCAGUUCCCUUUGUGACUCUGAUAUCCCUUCAGAGUCCUUCAAUCAUGAUCAGAAAACAAGAAAAAAGUUAUCAAAGUUAUCAAAGCUUCACAAACUCCUAGAAAGUAUCCUAAUAACCAUUCGGUAUACACACACUUGAAAAAUUACUUUUAUUCUUUUUGUCAUCUCGCAUAAGAUGCCACGAAAAUAAAGCAUUCCUCGAUUUAUCAGUUCCGUCCUAUAGAAAAGUUACAAGGCUAAAAGGUUACCUCUUUCACUGGAACUGGGGUAAUUGACCUCAUAUGAGAUGAAAUUGGUAAAAUAUUCAGCUCAUCAUCCAUUACUACACAUGAUUUGCAUGACGCAAGUGACAAUAAGAAACGCUCGUUAAAACGUCCAGUAGCCUUAGAAUGGGAUUCAGUUCGAAACCUAUCAUGAACAUCCUGAAAUCAAGAGGCGCUGAUAAGACUGUAUGGAGAUUUUUGCAUUUGAGAGAACGAGAAAGACAGUGUUGCAAAUAAAACAUGACAUAACGGAAUUGUUAUCAAAUAUAAUAUGUGGUGCAUGGCUAUUGCUAUAUUCGUUCUAAGUCCAUAAUGUAGUAAAACUAGAAACUACCUCAACAAGAAGAACAAAUAUUAUGAGGAAACCUAGUUGUUUUUUCUUCUUCUUUUUGGGGCUAGAACAUGAAAAGAAACAACUAGUCUACAUAGGCCCAACUGGGAAACUUAUAUGUUCAGCAGCAUUCUCUUAAAGAAAGUCAAGCAAUUGAAUCUACCAAAAGUCUUCUUGUAGCCAAGCACAUCAUUACGAAAAAAUUCGGAAACUUUUAACAUGGCUAGUUUUCAAGAUUUUGCGGUAUAUAAUAAGCAUAACCAUGCUGGCCUAAAAACUAAGCAUUAAUUGUGUGCAUGCGUAAGAGAAAGAGGUAUUAUUAUAUGCAUACCAUAACCAUGGUGUAGAGGUUGGUGAGUGAGGUUAGAGAAUGAAGCAACAAUAUGACUAGUCCACCUCCCUCCACUGUCUCUAUCGUUCUUGCUAGUAGAUUUGGAGUCAAGGCCUCAAAAUCCUAAUGCAGGAGAUCAAACUUAGUCAUAAAACUUAAAUCAAUUAUACAAGGGGUCUUGGCCAAACCAGUAAAUUUGUAAGUUUCAAGUUACCUGAAGUAUACACAUUCCAAAGGUAUUACCAAGAACUCUUUCUGAAUCCUUGUACAAGCAAUAAGUCAAUCCCCCACUUUCAACAAAAAGUGAGAAAGGAUCAACCUUCUCGGGAUCAAGCAGCCCCCUCUGCAUCAUCUUUUUUACUUGCUUAGCACGUUUUUUCUUGUGACUGCAUCAUGAAGUAGUCAAACGCAACGAAUCAAUAUAUUUUAAAAACGAAAUUCCGCCUUGCCUUAUAAUAAGGUGAAGAAUGGAAGGUAGAAGAAAUCAACCUGCUGAGCUCGAGCUUGUCCUUGUAGCACCACAACACAGUCGGGCGCGAUUUCUUUACUUCAUUGCUUAGCAUAUAAUGAAGAUUCACAAUCUGAAGACCAUAUAAAACUCCAUAUUAGCCAUUUUCCGUUAGUUUUCGAUAGAUUUUCGAUGAUAUUUCUUACCUUGUUUGAGGUUUUUAGUGUUACUCGGUGAGUAUUGCAGGUGAAAACAAGAAACAGUAAAACUGGUAAAAUUUUCUACCCAAUUCAAUUUAAAUCAUUGUUAUAACUCCUCAAAUUGAAUAGGAAUAGCAAAUAGGGAAUGGGAUAGGAAAGGCAGAAGAAAUUAGGAGUACCUGGUCACGGGAUUUGUCGCCGACGAUGACGAACAUGGAGCGGUGCCGGUUUUUGACGCCAUUGCUUAUUAGGGUUCGGAUUCGUUCGUCCACCUUCUUCCUCAUUCUCUCUCUCUCUUCUCUCUCUGUGCAAUUAGGUUUAGGGUUUAUACCAUAGGGCAGUUGUCGUCGUCGGGCAGGGUUUAAGCCGAACUAGUGAGAGAGAGACUAGACAUCGCGGAGAGAUAUUGAGUUCAUCUCAACCGUUGAUUGGCUAUCUGAUGGCUGUUAUCAAAGCUGACAUAAAAAUGAAAACUCAACACGUGGCCAAGUAUUUUUUUUCUCUCUUUUUUGGCUUAUUUAUUGAUUUGCCCCAGAAAUUAUUUUUUUUGUCUUACUCUAGGUCAUGAAACAGAAUUUAUCUUACUUUAUCUUCUAAAACUACCAAAAUCGAGUCAUUUCACCCAUGUUUUGUCAAUUCUAUCUCAUAAACGUUAAAUAAAAGGGAGUCUAAACAUUUCAUACCAUGCUAGCAAAGAUGAGCCACUGUUGUUGGUGAGGUACGAAAUUUUCAAACUUUCCUAAACCUUUAAAACUUAAAAGGUAUCUUGAAUAUGAACGUAAAUGAGGUAAAGUUGCUCAAUUUUGGCAAUUUAUGAAGGGUAAAAUGAGACAAAUUCAAUUUAAGGCUAAAGUGAGAGUAAAUGGCAGUUUCAUGAGAUAUAUCAAUAAAUAAAUCUUUUCUAGAAUACAACUAAAUUAUGUACUCACGGUAAAAGAUAAAUUAAUAUCGAACUUGUCAUUGACGAUAUCUAAACAUAAAACCUUUCAAGUUUUUACCUAUAAGAAUAAAUUUGGUAUAGUAAUUUCUUUUCUAAUUUAAAGUUUCCCAUAGAGUUAUGACGAAUUUGAUACCAAAUUAGGCUGUCAUUGUGUGGCAUAGCCGAAUUCCUCCUCCCUUACUUUAAAAAUAACGAUGUACUCAAAAAAAGUUUCCCAUAGAGUUAAAAUGAUCUUUAGUUGCUUGCUGAGACAACCCAUAUGUAUAAUAAGACAUUGAAAAAGGUGCCUCUGUCAUUUACACUCACACGAUCGAAUAAGUAGCUCCGACAGUUGCAUCAUAAAAUUAAGGGGUUUUCCGAGAUUGUAGUAAGGUUGACGAUUAAAGUUUGGGAAAUUUUCAGGUUAAGGAAUCAAGGGAUCACAUUUUCAAGUUUCGUAGGCAUUCUCUUUCCUUUGGAAUGGUGUUGGAAUCCGUCCUGAAGUUGCCCAUUCCUUUGCUCUUGAUUUUCAGAGUUGGAUAGCUAUAAACCUUAGGACACAUUGUACCACCAUACAUGGUUUACCUUGGAACCUUAUCUUUAAUUCAACUCUCUGGCAUUGCUGGAAAUGGAGGAAUAACUUUGUCUUCAAUGAUGGCCAACAACCGCUUGACUCACCCCAGAAUUUCAUUUUUCAAUUUGCAAGGGAAUGGUGUGAUGCGAACAAGUGUUCUUCUAGUAAGCCUCCUAGACAAAAUCAUCUCAAUCCAUUGGAUUCGUUUGCCAAUUGGUAUACAAAAUCAAUACAGAUGGGAGUUGUAAAGACCCAUUUAGCCACAUAAGUGCUGGAGGUUUGCUUCGUAAUUCUGAAGGGAAAUGGAUUAAGGGAUUUGCUGCUAAUUUGGGCAGAGGAACCAUCAUGGAAGGUGAGCUUUAAGGGUGGUUUCAUGGGACUUUCUAUAGGUUGGGAUGAGAGUUGCAAGGAAGUGAUUAUUGAAUGUGAUUCUUAUGCUGCUGUUACUUUGAUCCAACAACCUAUUUUAGUUCCCACUCUACAAUCUCAUUAUUGACUGCAAAGAAGCCAUUGAAAGAAAUUGAAGAUGUGAAGUUACUCAUAUCUAUAGAGAAAAUAAUGUCUUAGCUAAUCACACGUCUGACUUAGGUCAUGGGUUAUCACUUGGUCUUCAUGUUUUUGCUUCUCCUUCUACCAUUGCUACUAAUUUUAUAGUUUCUAAUACUAUUGGCAGGGCCCUCCCUAGAGCUGUUUUUUAGUAGCUUUUUUGUUUUGCUUGUUGGGCUUUGCCCUCUUCUGUACCCAAAAAAAAAAAAAAAAAAAAAAAUAUUGGGAAAUUUAUUUGGACCCAACUUUUUUAUCUCUACACCCAAAUAAUAUUUUCUCUUAUCUAAUCUUCCAAAUUUGUCCUUAAAUAACAAACAUUGAAGUUUUCUUUGUAUCUCUACACCCAAACCCCACGAUCCACCACUGUAGGGCGCUCCAUUAUUUCCGACAAACCCAACUCAAACGCCAGCAACACUAAAAUCGACAAAUCAAGACUGGAGAACAAAUGGUGUAGGAGUCCUAAUGUGAAUAUUAAAGCAAACUUAAGUUGCAAAACCCUUUUUUAUUUCAAUCGAUGAAAGGACCUUGGGUUAUGAACAUAAGGAACCUAUUAGGGUUUAGAGGUCCCCUCCACAUCAUAUGCAUAAGCCCUUUUUCUUCAUUCAUUAAUUUACGGAAGGGAAAAUUAAUACUAUUAUUCUCAUAAAAAGUGGGAAUACCAAGGAAAGAGAUCCUCUCCACACCAUAUAUUUUUCUUUUCUGAGUAGUUAUAUCCAAUGGAGAGAGGAAAACAAGAGCACCAAUGGUCGCAGGUUCACCGGAGAAAAUGAAGGUGCAGUGGUGAUGUGAGUUUAGGGUUAUUGGGUGUAAAGAUAACAACUUUAAUAUUUAUUUUCUCAUUUUUAUUUAUUUAAGGGCAAAUUUGAAAGUUUAGUAGAGAAAAUUUGUUAGUUGGGUGUAGAGAUAAAAAGGUUGGGUCCAACAAAAUUUCUCAUAAAGUUUAAUCACGCGAUUAAGUUCUUGUGCAAUGAGUAAAUUGUAGCAAUGACCCAUCAACUAAAAAUCCAUUAUUAUUGAUCCCUCAACUCAUCAAAAUAUGUAGUUAUGGUCAUUUUCGUCAACUUUGUAAGAAUUUUGUCAAAAUAAAUUAUGUUGGAAGGACCAUUGUUACAAUUAAGGUCCUUCAACUCAUCAAAACAUGUAGCUAUGGUCAUUUUCGUCAACUUUGUCAAAAUGAGUUAUGUUGGCAUGACCAUUAUUGCAAUUGGGUUAAAGUUGAGGAAUCAUUGCUCCAAUUGGGUUAAAGUUGAGGGAUCAUUUCUCUAGUUAGAUUAAAGUUGGGGGACCAAUGAUAAUUAAGUUUUAGUUAAGGGAUCAUAGUUGCACGUUUUGAUGAGUUGAGAGAUCAAUGAUAAUGAAUUUUUAGUUAAUGGAUCAUUACUCCAAUUGAGUUAAAAAUAAAGGACCAUUGCUACAAUUUACUCUUGUGCAAUAGAAGAUUAAUUUGGCCGAACAACCUGAUUAAGGUGCCUACUUUCUCUUUAAUUCAUUGGUAUCAUUUAUUUUCCCUUAAGCUGAAUUAUGCUCAAUUUAUGUAUCAAUAUUGUAAAGUUGUCUUUGUUAGAGUAAUUUGGACAAUAUAAAUUGAAAAUUAUUUGUGUAUAUGGAAAAGAUUAACCUCAGGGGUCACUUCGCCGGACUCCGUAGCAAUCUCCACCACUCCAAUCGUAAUGGUGAGUAAAUCACUUGUGUUUGUUUCCAUUUUUUCAAUUGGAAAUUGGGGGUUUUGAAUUCAUAUUUUGUCAAUUGGUUUUGUGAGCACUGAGAAUACACUACGAGCUUGUGUGUGUGUACAAUAUGUUGGAUUUGAUCUUUAUAAAGAAUGCGAGAAAUUGGGGUUAGGAAAGAGAAGAAAAGGAAACAGAACUCGAACUUCGAUCUUCAUUCUUGUUACUAAAGGAGAAAACCGAAUUUGAACCGGUUCAUACGUAAUCGAACCGAAUUUGUAUAGUUCGGUUCACCCCUUAGUACCGAACCGUACCAUACCAAAAAAAAUUUCUUGAGUUUGGUUUUGAUACAUCCCUCAUACUGUACCAUACCAAAUCGUGGCCAGACCUACUGAAUACAAAACUUAUAUCUGGGUCGUAAGUCGUAAGGCCUCCAAAAAAAAAGUUCAUAUUAUUCAUACCAAUCGGACAAAUCCCGCACCCAAAAACAAUGGCUAGAUAGAAAGUUCAAUUAUAGAUUAGGUAAUCUAUCCUUUUCAACUUAAAUGCACAUUCAUGAUGGUUAUGCAAAUCAUAUUAUGUUAACAAAUGCAACAAUUAAUUAUAUUUAUCCAUUUGGAAUGAUAUAUAUUUUCAAAGAUGGAAUUACAGACCCCGUUGACGUUGAGGCCAUUGCAUGAGAGAAUUUUAGAUGAUUUUCAAUUAAUUUAUAUUAUUGUUGUGAUAACCAUAAUAAUUAUUUUCUAAAUGUAAAACUAUAUUAAUGAAAUUUUCUUUGUCGGUCAAAAGAAGAUGAAAAGAUAUCUUUAUCUUCUAUCACAACAAAAAAAUUAAGGAUAUUAAUGUAAUAGGCUAAUAGCGAUGGGGUGAAGAAAUGGAACUAUCCUAAAUAGGCAGUUGCUGGUUAUAUUGGAUCAGGUGGUCUGAAUGAUUGGAUAAUUAGCAAAUAAAAAGGUUCCAUUUUUCAUGGACCCUCAAGUGGAAAUAUGGGAUAAAAGAUGGCAUAUACCAUUUUAUCCAUUUGUGAUUGUACAUUUUGAUGGUUGUGAUUUCACCCGAUGGCGCGGCAAGUGUGGAUUGGGAUAAGGAUGGUUUUGGUCUAUCAUCAAAGAUGGUUUGAUGUUCACGACUGGAUUUUACAACGCAUCCAAGUGCAUGGGUUCUAUAAAUACAGAGUUGCGCACAAUAAAAAAGUACAAAGGACCUUCAAACCUUUCACACACUCUGAGAAACUCCUGAUUCUCCCAACUUCGUCAACACAUCUUCAAUUUGGAUUAACAUCACUGUUUGUCAGUGAGGAGUCCUUAGUCUUCUCGUCUCAUUAGCCCUCUAGGUGAAGUGAGGUGUUACUGAAUUACUUGAGUAUUCAGCACAUUGAAAGUCGAACCUUAUUUGAACUUCACAGUAGUUAGCAAUCUUAUCUUCAGGUUUUAGAACCCAAUGCCAAGACAUAUUCCUUCCUCGACAGUGAUGGUUUGUACACAAAAGUUGGUUUGUACACAUAAGUCAGUAUUGUGUUUGACACACCAUCCCAUUCAUUCUACUAGCCCACAAACGCGUGGACUCGUCCAAAAUUACCCCACUCUCGGCCCGUUCACUUGCCCACUCGUCCCACGCGGCCCGUGAGUCUUCAGUGCCUGAUAGGGGGGCCUACUGUUAGGGCCGUUGUUGGCCACAACCCAGAGCCCAACGAUUUUUUUUUGCAUCCCACGACUGGCAUUUUUGGACCGUUGGUUGAUCCAACGGUCCAGAUUCAAAUUUUGUUUUUUUAAAUGUUAUUUUAAAAUACAUUGAAUCCAACGGCUGAGAUCGAAUAUAAUCAAAUCUAACGGUAAAAUAAAAAAAGAUAAAAAAAGAUAUAACAGUCCAAAUUUAAAUCCAACAGCUAAAAUAAUUUUAAAAAAAAUUAUUUAACUCAAAAUUCACCCAAAAACUCUAUAAAUACCUUUGUAUUUGUUCAAACAUCCACACAAAACUCAAUUUUCUCCCACAAUUCUUCCAUUUUUUCUUUCUACCAUUUCUUUCCAUUUCCAAAUUGUUCAACACGAUCCUUGAAUUGGCCAUCCCAAGCAGUAAGACAAUUCUUCCACUCCCAAAGCAUACAAUCGAGACUUCCUAUCAUGUCAGGAAAGCCUAUUUUGUCUGCUUUGAGUAGAAUGUGACGACAUGUCCCGAAUUAUUAUAUAUUUUUCUCCCUAAGUGUGUAAAGUGACGGUAAUGCCCUCGUGAUUUAGUGACGUGGAUGUACAUAUGUAGUUUUAAAUUAUUAUUUCUAUUGUCGUAGUUAAAUUGUACUCGACGCCAUGAGUGUGUUGAUGUGACCUAGGGCUAAAACAAAUUCGUAACGAAGAAGUUACGAACAGACGAGUGUGUAAAUGCGUAGAAAUAUAUUUUUAUGGGUUGGCUAUACCUUACCCACCAAUCACCUUAAUUCCUGAUUUCUUUGGCCUAAUUGAAUUAAAAAUAUCUCUCAUUUUUCCUUCUGCCCAAUCACGCACAUACACACCAUCACUCUCUCUCUUCUCUCGGACCUUCUUCUUCUUUCUUCUCAUUCCGUACACCCGAGCCACCCUUACCUCACAAUCAUCAUCAAAACAUUAUGGAUCGAAUUGGAAAUCACUACCAUCGCAGUCACCUCGAUCCCACGAACUCAUUGAUACCCUUAGGUCGAGGAAUAGACGUCGGGAAUUCGAGAACUCGGGAGCUCUGGCGAGGUGUAUUUUUCUACUUUGUGAUCGUGGUCUUUUUCUAUGGUUUAAAGGCUUGAGGUGGGUCCUAAUCAACUUUAUAGGGACCCUAGAUUAGUUUUGGAGCAGUUUGAACGUUGGAAUAGGUGAGAACAUGGAGUUGCAGGUUGGCCGGUUGAUCCAAGCCUUACUCCGACCACUUUCUGUCGGUUUUAGAACCUCAAGUAGGUAAGAUUGUAUUCUUCUAGUUGAGAGUUUCAAAUCCAUAUAAAAUUCAUGGAAUUUGGUUGAAAAAUGAUGAAGAUAUUAAAGUUUUAAGAUUUUUCCAAAAAUCAGCGACACAAACGGCGCCCGACGGCCAGCGAUGGAUUCCGACAAAGCCAUCGGAGAAGGAGGAGAAUAUUAUGUCUAACUUUGACAGAAUAUACUAACAGCGUCAGGUAACUCUAUUAGUUUUUAAACAAAAUAUUCUACUAUUUAAUGAAAUAUUCCCUAACGCCGUUAGGGAUUCCGUGCCUGCACGUGCCGGCUUAUGAGGGCGCGUGAGACGUCAGGAAAUUAAUCUAAAAAUAUUGGGGUGUUCGAGUUGUUGAGUAGGUCAUGUUGGUAUAUUCAAACACCCUAUUUGAGCAACGUAUGAGAAGUUAUUCCUAGGGUUUGUGUAUGUGCCUUAAAAUUAAUGUAAAAUUAGUUAUUUCGCAUAUAGGUGAGACUUACCCGGAGGACAAACGUGGUCAAACGAGACUUGGGGGCUACGAUCCUACUACUUACCAGUGAGCGGGCUUUUUUUUUCUAUAUAUAUGUAAAUAUGCUUAUGAAUCCCAUAAACUACUUUAAAUGAACGUAUGUUUUAAAUGCCAUGUCGUGUGCAUUAUGUGUUAGUAUUGCAUUAGUAUAGCUAUGCAUAGUAUUGGAUGAGACUGCGCAGACUCAGGUAAGUUUCAGGUGAGUACAUCAUGAUGGUAUUGGGUGCGUGUGUGUGGUUAUACGUUGAUGCAUUUUGAGCUUAUUAUCCUGCACAUUGGUGUUAGUGUUCUCGCCCAUGGCCAGGGCAUAGUUUUUCACAUGAUGUUCACCUCCUGGGCCGCACGCUCACUUUGGAUCCAAGUUUGGUGCACAGCCAUAUUGCACAGACCACAAUAGGUGGUUCCGACUCGUAGGUGACCUGCAAUUAUUUGCACAGCCUUCACGUGAUCGUAGCACUUAAGCGUACUUAUCUACACCCAGCCCUGUUGUACAGACCACAAUAGGUGGUUCCGACUUAUGUGCAUGCAUACUUGAUGAGCUAUAGAUUCAAUUGUACAGGUUACAUUAGGUGACUCCGGUUGGCAUACUAUUUUAGGUUGAUUCGUAUCACCUGGCUUACACAUUUUAUGGUUGAACAUCUUGACAUGGCAUACCUCUGUUUUCACUGCUCUAAGCAUUAUCCUUAUGUACCUAGUUGUUAUUAUUUUCUGGAAAAUUAUAUGGGUUUACAGUGAGGGGUUAGUAUGUUCAUAAAGACAACUGUGUUUUCAAAAACUUUGUUUUUGCCUACUCACAUUUUUUGUUUUGCACCCUUUCAGGUUCUAGGUAGUUGGUCAUCCUUGGUGGCUCACGAGGACUUUCACGGCGGUUCUGACAUCUCUGUAAAUAAGUAGGGAUUUUUUUCCCUGUUUGUAUAAUUAGUACUUAGUUGGUUCGAUUGCACUUUCGUUUACCCAUGCUCUGAUAUUUGUAUAACUUGCUUGGUCAUCUUUACUCACUUAUAUUAUCUUAGUUUAGAUAAGUUUGGUUUUAGGUUUUUAUUUAUUCGCAUUUCUUUUAUUAUUACUUCUGUUGCGCAUUUUGGCUACGUUACUCUUACGUGACGGGCAUCAUGUUUCGACUUCGGUUGGGGUGUGUCAUAAAAGCCUCUUCAAGUCUUCAUGAUUUGGCUUGCAGAGAUAUGUGGCUCCAUAUGUGGCCUGAAUUGCCCCACAGAAGCGCUCCAGGUUUUUAAUAGCAGUAGUCUCCGCAAGUCGGCAAUACUCAUCAGUUGAGUUUGCAGAGCACUCAUUAGCUAGCAUCCGAAAUGCAGAUGUGAGCUUCUGAUGAGGUGAUAGACUUUGUCGGCCUACGACAUUUAUCUUCCUUGCAAAGUAGUGGUCAUGAUUGACAACUGUGUUCAAGAUGCUUUCAAAAAUCUCUCUCCUCAUUCGAAACCGUCUCCGAAAAUCAUGAGCAGGAAAUCUCGGACGCUCAAUAAAAUAAUAUUUCAUCAUUCGGUCAUGACACUCUUCUCUAUCACGUUGCACAAAUGAACGCUUCGUGACAUAACCACAAUAGCUAGAUUCGACAUGGUGCUCAUAUUGCAUAAGCGAGUUUGGAAGUUUAGCUUAUGCGUUGAUCAUUUUUGAAUCCUCAAUGUCAAGGCUUGCUUGGUAUUAUGUCAUUUGCAUUGCCCUGCUACACCUUCUUCUAUCAUCCAUUGUUGAUAUAUUGAGGAUUUUUAUGAAACAAAAACACUUUGAAAGUUGAAAGAUUAGUGAAUAUAGGGAAUGAUUGAAGGUUGAAAGAUUGUGUGACCAACUGAUAUUGAACAUGUGUUUAUAUAGAGGAUGAUUGAUGAAAGUUGAAAGUUUGGUGAAAGUUGAACGGUUGGUGAAAGUUGAAGAUUUGUGAAAGUUAAAGACUUGCUUUGUGGAAAGAUUUAGUGAUUUUUUCAAUAUUUAUUGGAAUUUAAAUAUUUUUAUAUUAAAAUGUUCAUAAAAUUAAUUUACCAUAGGCUACAUAAUUUUUUUUAAAAGUUAAUUUAAGAAAAAAAAUUAGCCUAAGUUCAUUCUUUAAUAAUCCCGAACUAAAAUUUUAGGCUAGGGUUGGAGCAGAAAAACUGUUUCUGUGUUAAAAGCUAAAUUUUUUAGAUUAAAAAUUUUAAAUUUUAACCCAAAGGUUGGAGAUGAUUUAAGAAUGGAUAAACUUAACCAAGAAAAGAAGAAAAAAGAUGAAGGGCAAAUAAGUGAGAAGCAACAUGACACGACACACGGACGACCAUAGCAAUAAAGCGUGCGUCCUCACGUCCAUUGAAUAUAUAGAUGGGAGCUACAACAUCGUGUUUCACGUGCAUGUGUAUUAUACAUAAAGGCAUAUACAGUGUUAGCUUAUAUAUUAUAAAGUUUGUAGGCCACUUACCCAAUUUGGCAUAUGUUUUAUCUUUUUACGUGAAUAACCAAUGUGUUAUGAUGAUACAAGUCUCUUAACAUAUCCGGAGUUAGAAAUAUCAUAAGACAGUGUUGCGAUCAUAUUGAAAUUAAUUGACAGUUUGUAUUAUAUAUUUGAUUAUUCUUUAUUAACUUAAGGAGACAGCAUACUUAGACCUAAUUUAGUCACAUUCUCCAACCGAAAAUAAAGCGGUGUAGUAUUCAUACACUUUUUUUUAUUUCUUACACAGUCUUAAUUAAUUUCUAUUGUUUGAUCUUCUUCAAUUCAUUCGAUCUGACGACCGAAAAUUAAGAUGGUGUGUGGACGAGUAAAUUAUAACAAUGGUCCCUCAACUUUAAUCAAAUUGGAGCAAGGGUGCUCAACUAAAAAUCCAUUACCAUUGGUUCCUCAACUCAUCAAAAUGUGUAGCUAUGGUCAUUUUCGUCAACUUCGUUACAAUUUUGUCAAAAUAAGUUAUAUUGGAAUGACUAUUGCUACAAUUGGGGUCCCUCAACUCAUCAAAACGUGUAGCUAUGGUCAUUUUCAUCAAUUUCGUUAGAAUUUUAUCAAAAUGAGUUUUGUUGGAAUGACCAUUGCUACAAUUGAAUUAAAGUUGAGGGACUAUUAUUUCAAUUGAGUUAAAGUUGAAAGAUCAUUUCUUCAGUUGUAUUAAAGUUGAAGGAUCAAUGGUAAUGAAUUUUUAGUUGAGGGGACUAUAGCUGCACGUUUUAAUGAGUUGAGAGAACAAUAAUAAUGAAUUUUUAGUUGAAAAACUAUUACUUCAAUUGAGUUAAAAUUAAGAAACAAUUGCUACAAUUUUUUUAUAUGGAAAGUGGAUGAUGUGAAUAGCACAUCCAAAAAUAAAAGGGAACUUUAACGAAAAGCACCCGGUACUGUUCACUUUAACGAAAAACCACAUUUUUACACUAAAAAGUCAAUCCUGGUACUAUUCACUUUACCCUUUAUUUUGUCCUUAUCAUUAAAACUCAAAGUUUUCAAGCCCUUUUCAUUAGUUUUCCUAAAAUAAAAUGCACCACAAUUUGGUAGGAUCUUCCUGUUGAGAGUAAUAAAUUAAUAAUUGCCGAAAUAUUGGAUAAUUUGUCGGCCACAACGCUAUGAGGGAGUAUCUGGGGAUGAAUAUACUCUUGCCGACAGAUGCCCAAAUUCCAACUGCCAUUCAAAUGAGCCCUCCACCACCACCGGCCAUAAUAAAUUCUCUUUCUUUAGUGAAGAAGAAAAAGAGGUACUUGGCCCUCACCUCAACUUUUUGAGAAAGAACAAGUUUAUCGCUAUCAGAAUGUUUCGGUCAAUUAUAUAAGUUAUGUGUAAAUUUUUCUUUAGAUAACAUUACAUUAUUAUAUUUAAAAUGUUCCGUAACGAUAAAUUUGUUUCAUACAAAUUAUUCUCCAACUUCUUGGAUUUUUCUCCUUUUUCCCGAAAACCAGCUUAUAUUAGUGUUCAUCCUCUGUCAAUAUCACUCGCCCACAACUAUUCAACUAACUUUUAAUAAUUUGACAACGUGUCAUAUUUUUGUGCAAAGCGGGCCCAUUUUUGUGGGUGAUAUAAUAAUGGCGUAUGUGGUUUGUCAAGACAUAUACUCAUUUAUCCAUUAGCAGUUAGGUAAGUCACCUCACUCACCCACAGCCUAACACAUCAACAAAUAUUGCUUACAAAUUCUAGAAAAUUCGACCAAGAAAAAAAACCAAAUGCUCGCAAAUUAAAAUUGUGUAACAUGAUUAGUUUUUUAUCCAUUAGUAUUAAUUUUACGUUGGAAGAAAUUCCAAAUUUAUUCUUGUAAAGAGGGAUAUGAAAAUACUUUGUAUGUCUAUCACCAAAAUCUUCGAAUGUUUGAAUGGUUGAUUUUCAAGUCUCACACAAUUGGAUUUAGUUCAAGUGAGAAAGAAAUACACUCAAACUAUUAGAUAUGAGGAAUGAAAAUACACUACAAAAUCUUGUGAACAUUUCUAAUAUUCUCUUCUAUCUACUUUUUGUGAACCAAGUUUUUAUUUGUUUUUUUUUUUAACAAAAGAUAUUUUUUAUACUAGGGAAAUAAGGUGGGUUUAGCCUCAUAAUGGGCUAACAUAAUCUAGUUCAAACUUGCAUUUGGUGAGAAUCGAACCUAAAAUCUCUCACUUACAAGUGAAGAGGAAUACCAUUAGAAGUGUCAUGAAAUUAGCAGUCUUAUAUGUAAAAAAUUGAUUGACUAAAUGCUGUGUUAAAAAACAAGAUUAAUACUUGCAUCUCCCCACUUGGAAAAUGCAAAUAUUUCAUUUCUUGCAAAUAACGUAUAUCAUGCGUUCUGUUCAAUCGCAUAUUCAAAAAUGUUAAAAACAAGAUUAAUAUUUCUAUCUCCCCACUUGGAAAAUGCAGUAUUUCAUUUUUUACGAAUAACGUAUAUCCUGUGUUCCGUCCAAUCGCGUAUUAAAAAAAUGUGUGAAGUUUGGAUUAACUACACUCUUUGAGAAUUUCCUUAAAUAACCACUUUUUGAAAAUUUCUUAUAGGACUAAGUGAGUCUCCGCUGAGAAUUUCCUUAACUAACACAACACUACUUGAGUGAUAAUUUGUUAUAUCUUGAAUAGAGAAUAAAUCAGUUCCCUACUUUUGAAGGUACUAUUAACUUACACUAUAUUUGAAUGAGAACAAUAAACUUAGAAUUUAGAUGAAGGAAAUAAAACAGUUUCCUACUUUUGAAGGUACUACUCGAGUGAUAAUUUGUUAUAUCUUGAUAACGUGUCAUAUUUUUUUGCUAAGCGGACCCAUUUUUGUGGGGUGGUAUAAUAAUGGCGUUUGUUGUUUGUCAAGGGCAUAUACCCAUUUAUCCAUUAGCAGUUAGGUCACCUCACUCACCCACAACCUAGUACAUCAACAAAUAUUGCUUACAAAUUCUAGAAAAUUCAACCAAGAGAAAGAAAACCAAAUGCUCGCAAAUUAAUCUGUGUAACAUUAGUUUUUAUCCAUUAGUAUUUAUUUUACAUUGGAAGAAAUUCCAAAUUUAAUCUCGUAAAGAGGGAUAUGAAAAUACUUUGUAUAUCUAUUAUCAAAAUCUUUGAAUGUUUGAAUGAUUGAUCAUCAAGUCUCACACGAUUGAAUUUAGUUCAAGUGAGGAAGAAAUACACACAAACUAUUAUAUAUGAGGAUUGAAAAAUACACUACAAAAUCUUGUGAUAACAUUUCUAAUAUUCCUUUCUAUCUACAUUUUGUGAUAAGUUUUUUUUUUCCUUUUUUGAACAAACUAUAUUUAUCUACAUUAAGGGAGAGGAGGUGAUCUUAGCCUCACAAUGGGCUAGCAUAAUGUGGUUCAAAUUCGCCUUUGGCGAUAAUCGAACCUAAAACUUAUCAUUUACAAGUAAAUAGGAAUACCACUAGAUGGAUCAUGAAAUUAGCAGUCUUAUAGGUAAAAAAAAAUUGAUCGACUAAAUGAUGUGUUAAAAAACAAGAUUAAUACUUGCAUCUCUCCACUUGAAAAAUGUAGAUAUUUCUGUGAACACGGAAAAUUCCUGAAACGAAAGAGACAAGAACAACGUGCACAAAAUAAUAUUUUGGUGUUAAUGGAUUUGUUGGGUUACGAUCUCUUUUAACUUGAUCCUCUGAUUCGAUCUCCGUAAGGUGUUGAUUUAUGGAUGUUUCGUUGAUCCAAGGGCUGUUGAGGCUUGAUCUUAGAUGAACUGUUGGAAGUUUCUUCAAGGGGCCGUGGGCUUGAUCUUUGAAGGUGGAUUUGAGCGGAUCUUCAAGGAGCCGUUGGGGCUUGAUCUUGAGGAUGAGUGUUUCUUCAAGGGCCGUUAAGGCUUGAUCUUGAAUAACGGUGAUGAACGGAUCUUCAAGGGCUUUUGGGCUUGAUCUUGAAGAACGGUUGGAUGUGUGGAUUUGUUGAUGUUGUUGAUCCAAGGGCCGUCGGAGCUUGAUCUUGGAAGAACGAUGAACGAAGAACGAAGAACACUUUCUUCAAAGGCCGUCGGGGCUUGAUCUUGAAUUGGUGAUUGUUGAUCCAAGGGCCGUCGGGGCUUGAUCUUGGAAGAACGAUGAACGAAGAACGAAGAACACUUUCUUCAAGGGCUGUCGGGGCUUGAUCUUGAAUUGGUGAUUGUUAAUCCAAGGGCCGUCGGGGCUUGAUCUUGAUUCUUCGGGAUGAACGGAUGAUGAACAAUGAACACUUUCUUCAAGGGCCGUCGGGGCUUGAUCUUGAAUUGGUGGAAGUUCUUCAAGGGCCUUUGGGGCUUGAUCUUGAAGGUGGAUGAUUGUUGAUCCAAGGGCCGUCGGGGCUUGAUCUUGGGAUGAACAGUUGUGUGGAUUUGUUGAACACUUUCUUCAAGGGCCGUCGAUGCUUGAUCUUGAAUUGGUGGAAGUUCUUCAAGGGCCGUUGGGGCUUGAUCUUGAAGGAGGAUUUGACGAAGAACGAAGAGGGCUUUCUUGAUCCUUCGGGAUUUGCUUGAAUUUGGGAGGUUGGAUGCUUGAAAGCUUUAGAGUUUCAAAGCUUCAAGGAUUUUGGAUGUGUGGGGAGUAUUCUCUUCCAUUUUGGGAGUAGAGAAAUGUAUUUGUGAAUUGGUUUUUGAUACCUUGAUGUAGAAGCCUAUUUAUAGGCUUUGAGAAUGAAUCACCACCACAAAAUAUUUUUUUUCUUUUCCAAGCACCAUUGCCUAAUUUCCCACUUAAUACAAUUUUAAACUUGAAGUGGUAAUUUUAUGGCCUAAUUUUCCACUUAAUAUCAUUUUAAACUUGAUAUGUGCAUGCUUUGUCAUUGCCCAAAAUGAGAAGAAAACCUUGUUUUGAUCUUCAAUGAAUUGAAAUGUGCUUGCCUUGUCAUUGCCCAAAAUGAGAAGAAAAACUUGUGUAAUCCUUCAAGGGUAUUUCUUUUUAUUUUGUUGAGUCGCACACCAUGUGUACAAUUUGUAUGACACGUGGCAUAUGCCAUGUACGCCUUGACACGUCAAAAUUUUAAUGCGUUGGUGAACAUUUAUUUCACCGCAAUUUCGGUGUCUACAAAUGCCCCCACUUCAAGGUGCGUCGUAUACAUGUGCUUGUCACGUGUAGGAGAUGCGUUUUGAAGUCCCUUACUGUAGAUGUCAAUCCAAUGGCCAUCGAGGCUUGAUCUUGAAUUGGGCUGGAGAUUUCUUCAAGGGCCGUUGAGGCUUGUUCUUGGACUUUGUUUGAAAUUUCUUCAAGGGCCAUCGAGGCUUGAUCUUGAAGGUUGAAAUUGGACCACAAGGAGCUUCAUGUGGUAGAUGAUCUUUGGCUUUGGUAGUGGAUGAAUCGGCACGUAUUUGUUUUUGCGCUUUGUUGACUUUCCACAGCUUUGAUCUUGAACUGGGUUGGAGGAUUUUUUGGAUUCCUCCAAUUGUUGAUUUUCCACAGUUUAUUCUUGAACUGGAUUUGAUUCAAAUAUGGUGGACGCUUGAUCUUGAAUCGGACUUGUGAUUUCCUCAAGGGCCGUCGAGGCUUGAUCUUGAAUUUGGCCGGAAACUUCUUCAAGGGCCGUUGAGGCUUGAUUCUUGAAGGUUGACUCGAACACAUGGCAAGCAGGCACGAGGUGAAGGUGACGACUUGUUGCUUUGUUCAAUCUUUCUAAUUCACACCUGAGCAGUUUGGUCAACGGUAUGAUCUUCAAGAUUGAUGGGCUCUUCUUCCAGUUGGUGAUUUGAUCUUUAAGGAUUUGAUUCAAGGGUGGUGAAACGGCACAUGCAGCCCACAACGCCUAGCAAGUCGACCCAAGAAUUUGAGGGUUAAAACGAGUCCUCCACCCAGAGUGAUUGCAAACCUGAUGAUAUGAGAUACUUUUGAUUUUGAAGAAGUAGCGGAUGAAUCGGCACGUGCUUUGUUGUGCUUGUCUCCACAUGCUUCAAUGUAUCAUUUUCCCUUGUCUUAUCUAUUCUUCUAGCAGAAUGUAGCAUCUUCUUAAGUUCUUCAACUCAGACUCCUUCUGCUGAGCUGACUGUGCAGGCUGCAUUAUUCUCUGCUUGUUUCUUUAGGCAGAUGUGGCAGCUUCUUGAGUUCCUCAGCUCGGACUCCUUCUGCUGAGCUGAUUGUGAAGACUGCAUUCUUAUCUGCUUGUUUCUUCUGUACGUUGUCUCCACAUGCUGCAAGGUAUCAUUUUCAAUUGCCUUAUUUGUUUUCCAGGCAAAUGUGGCAUCCGAGUUUGAGUGGAGGUUCUGGCAUAUUGUUUUCUUUAUCCUUGUCUUUGUAGGUAAGAACAAGGACAAAGGAAAGGACAGGGAGAACGCAUGAUAUGAUAUACUCUUGCUUUCUACCCUGGUGAUAUGAGAUACUUUUGCUUUGGUGUCAUUUGUUUGCAGAGGUACCCCAAGGAAUAAGAAACACUGAGUGACUCGAGAGGCUUUGUUGGGAAGGCAUUCUAGGAGAUGAAGAAAGGUUCUUGGAGAUGAAGAAAGGUUCUCGGAGAUGAAGAAAGGUUAUGUAUGUCUGCCUUGCUAUGGAGGGUAAAGGUGGACAGUUAUAGGAAAUUCUUUAGUACCUGUAGAGGUACUAUUCUUUUACUCGUGUCGGCAACCAAUGUGUGAUUGAUCAGUAUGGCUUCACGUGUUUUCUUCUUUAUCAGAAAUCUUCGACAAAUUGUCCGUAAUUUUCGUCAAGCUGAGUGUGCAUGUGACAGGUGUUGACGAGGCUGAAAAAGACUGGUGCCUCUUCGAUAUCUGGGAUCGGCGCUUCGACAAAUUGCCCGUGAUUUCCGCAAAGCUGAGUUUGCGCGUGACGGGUGCUGACGAGGCUGAAAAAGACUGGCGCCUCUUCGAUAUCUGGGAUUGGCGCUUUAACAAAUUGCCCAUGAUUUCUGCAAAGCUGAGUUUGCACGUGACGGGUGCUAACGCGUCUGGAAAAGCAAGAUGCUUCUCCGAUUUCUGAGCUUGCCUCUUUGAUUUUUGAAUUGGCCUCUUCGAAUUCUGAGCUCGCCUCUUCGAUCUUUGAAAUCCCAUCGAGUGUUGAUCUUUAUAGAGGCACGCAGUUCGUUUCAAAGCACACUUGAAUUUUCGCUUGUAGAAACUCCCUUCUUGCACUUCUAAGAUCUUGAUUUGUCCGACCUCUUCUUUCUUCAACACCUUUGAAAAUGUCUGGACCCUCCGACCGUCAUUUUGAUUUGAACCUUGGUGAAGAGGUAGUCCCGUCUUCUCCAGAUAACAUAUGACGCCCAUCUUUCAUAUCCCCUACUGGUCCUCUUACCGUUGGGGAUUCGGUGGUGAAGAAUGAUAUGACCGCUGCGGUGGUGGCCCGAAACCUUGUCACUCCCAGAGAUAACAGACUACUUUCCAAACGGUCUGAUGAGUUGGCUGUUAAGGAUUCUCUGGCUCUCAGUGUGCAGUGUGCAGGUUCUGUGUCUAAUAUGGCCCAACGCCUAUUUGCUCGAACCCGUCAAGUUGAAUCAUUGGCGGCUGAAGUGAUGAGUCUCAAACAGGAGAUAUUAGAGGGCUCAAGCAGAGAGAUAAACAGUUGCAUAAGCUCGCACAUAGCUAUGCGACAAACAUGAAGAGGAAGAUUAACCAGAUGCAGGAAUCUGAUGGUCAGAUUUUACUUGAUCAUCAGAGGUUUGUGGGUUUGUUCCAGCAGCAUUUGCCUUCGUCUUCUGGGGCUGUACCGCGUAAUGAAGCUCCAAAUGAUCAACCCUUGGCUCCUCUUCUUCCUGGAGUUCCGCCGAGUGGUGUGGCUUCAAACAGUCAACCUCCGACGCCUCUCAUUUCUGGAGCUCUGCUGAGUGGUGAGGUGGCACCUAAUCGUCCUUGAAGAUCCCCUCUUGUAAAUUUGAUUUGAUUUUUUUUUAAGUAUGUAUAAUGCAAAUUUAUGUAAAAUUUCCAGAAAAAAUAAAUAAAAACGGACUUUAUUUCUCUCAAUGCAUUUGUUUUGUUUUGUUUUUGUUUUUUUUGUUUUUUUGUUUUUGUUUUUUUUGUAAAUACAUAAUAACAUAUGUAUUUAUUUAUUUAUUCUUUUGUAAUAAAAUUGACUUUCUUUAAUAAAACUUUUAUAUUUUUCUUAUUUAUUUUGAUAUGACUGAACUCGAAAUUGAAUGUUCGAGCCGCCUACGUACCCUUCCAAAGAAGAGAUCAAGCCAUAACGUAGUUCAAAUGAGUGAUGAAUUUAAUAGUGAUUUUGAUGAUGAUUUUGCCGUACACAGUUUAUGCUCUUGUGGGCCAGGAGCUUUGGUGUUGCCUUUUAUGCUCGUGCAGACCAGGAGCGUUGAUGUCGCCUUUUAUGCUCGUGUGGGUCAGGAGCGUUGAUGUUGCCUUUUAUGCUCGUGCAGACCAGGAGCUUUGUGCCAUGCAGUUUAGACUCGUGCGGGCAAGGAGCUUUGGUUCGUGCAGUUUAGGCUCAUGCGAACAAGGAGCAUUGGUUCGUGCAGUUUAGGCUCGUGCGAACAAGGAGCAUUGGUGUUGCCUUUUAUGCUCGUGCAGACCAGGAGCUUUGUGCUAUGCAGUUUAGACUCGUGCGGGUGAGGAGAAUUUGUGAAUUUUGUCAAGCACUUUUGGAGAGGCGUUCCUUACAAUCUUCAUAGCAAGGAGCCUUGACCGAGUGAUUGAAGAAGUCUUCGGGAAAGAAGUCGCACAUCGUGAUGGCAACAGACGAUCUUUGUGUCGUAAUUUCAUCAUCUUCAACACGUUCACGUUGCUUUGAAGGUUGACAAGAGCUGCUUUGCCCCCUUUCCGAUUGGCGGACUUGUGGAGGAGACGUAUGCUUCUUGUGCCAUUUCUUAGGAGUGACUUGAGUCCAUCCUUCAAGUUUGCUUGUUUUGGAGGAUGCCCCCGGCGGUUGAGGUGAAAAUUUUGUGUUGAAAGAGCCAGAAGUGAUGGUGGUAUAGUUUGACUUCACCACAUCGUCAAGAUCUAGCUCGAUGAUUCCUUUCUGAGCCCACUUUAUGAUGAGAUCUUUCAGCACAAAGCACUUUUCUGUCGGAUGACUGAUGAAGCGGUGGAAUUUACAGUAUCUUGGACUGUUGGUACGAUUCAUCUCUUCCGGCCAUCUGCACUCAGGCAAACUGAUCACCUUCUUGUCCAACAGGUCAUCCAACAUGGCAACCACAUCAGAGUCAGGGAAUGGAUAAGUCUUCUCUUUAAGCUCCUUCAAAGUGCGUCUACGCAUCUCUUGAUCACGAAAAGCUUCGGUUUGAAUCGUUUUGCCUCGUGUGGAGAUUUUGACGGGAGAUGUGUUGACUGUCAUUGCUUCCUUGGUGGAUUUCCACGUAGCCUUCUCCACCUUUGUCUCAAGAAUUUUGUCGUUCUUGUAGUCGGCGAUCGGUUCCUUCUUCCCAUGAUGGGUGAUGCUCAACUCCAUGUCAUGGGCGUGGGUGGCCAAUUCCUCGAAGGUCCGUGGUUUAAUGCCUUGAAGGAUGUAUUGCAAACCUCAUUGCAUGCCUUGGAUGCACAUCUCGAUUGAAGAGGUCUCCGAGAGCCUAUCUUUGCAGUCGAGGCUUAGAGUGCGCCAUCUGUUGAUGUAGUCAAUGACCGGCUCAUCUUUCCAUUGCUUCAUACUUGUGAGCUCCAACAUGCUUACAGUGCGGCGGGUGUUGUAGAAGCGGUUGAGGAAUUCCCGCUCCAAUUGCUCCCAGCUGUUGAUGGACUCAGGCUCUAGGUCCGUGUACCACUCAAAUGCGUUUCUUUUCAGCGAGCGCAUAAACUGCUUGGCGAAGUAGUCCCCCUCCGUCCCCGCGUUGUUGCAAGUUUUGACGAAAUGUGCAACGUGCUGCUUUGGGUUUCCUUUUCCAUCAAACUGCAUGAACUUUGGUGGUUGAUAUCCCAUCGGCAUCUUUAGGGCAUCAAUCUUCUUUGAAUAAGGCUUUGAGUACAACCCGGAGGUAUUUGAGCUCCCUUCGUACUAUGCCUUGACGGUGCUGGCAAUCAUCUCUUGCAACUGUUGGAUAGAAAGAGAUCCCAUGAGUGCCGCUUCUUGGUCUGGCUCCGGCUUCACAUCGAUUUUCUCCACCGUAGGCUCAUCUUCUGGGUUAGGGUUCUCGCUGUCCUGUGGCUCCAGUUGACUGAUGAGUGCAGCGAUUUGCAAGUCUUUUUCUUCCACAGUUCGGGUUAGCCUUGCGAUUGCUUCAUUCAUUUGAGCCAGUUGUUCUUCGAUGGAGGUAACGCCGAUGGUCAUGACUUGUGCAACCAAUAGACGUGACUUUCCUUUAGACAUCCAAGAUGCUGAAGAAGAACGUCAUUGGUUGUUUUGGGAUGUCAUCUUGUGUGCCUCAGCAACAUGCUUUGGUGCCCCCAGCGAGGUCAGGUUGAUGACAGACUCACACCUUUGAUGCUCCCUUUGCUCUUUUAGCGGCACCAACUUUGAAGUGGCAUGUUAAGGAGCGGUUGUGGUGCUAAUGGAUUGUCCAUUUGCGGCAGAAGUGCUUAGGAUCCUUCCCUCAGUGAUUGCGAGAACGGCUUGUCCCUUGCUUGAUGCCAUUGAUUUUGAGGUGUGUUUGGAUUCCUUAAACGGAGAAAGAUAUGAGAGGUAGAGAUUGUCCCACCGGGCGUGCCAAUUUGUGAACACGAAAAUUUCCUGAAACGAAAGAGACAAGAACAACGUGCACAAAAUAAUAUUUUGGUGUUAAUGGAUUUGUUGGGUUACGAUCUCUUUUAACUUGAUCCUCUGAUUCGAUCUCCGUAAGGUGUUGAUUUAUGGAUGUUUCGUUGAUCUAAGGGCCGUCGAGGCUUGAUCUUGGAUGAACUGUUGGAAGUUUCUUCAAGGGGCCGUGGGCUUGAUCUUUGAAGGUGGAUUUGAGCGGAUCUUCAAGGAGCCGUUGGGGCUUGAUCUUGAGGAUGAGUGUUUCUUCAAGGGCCGUUAAGGCUUGAUCUUGAAUAACGGUGAUGAACGGAUCUUCAAGGGCUUUUGGGCUUGAUCUUGAAGAACGGUUGGAUGUGUGGAUUUGUUGAUGUUGUUGAUCCAAGGGCCGUCGGGGCUUGAUCUUGGAAGAACGAUGAACGAAGAACGAAGAACACUUUCUUCAAAGGCCGUCGGGGCUUGAUCUUGAAUUGGUGAUUGUUGAUCCAAGGGCCGUCGGGGCUUGAUCUUGGAAGAACGGUGAACGAAGAAUGAAGAACGAAGAACACUUUCUUCAAGGGCCGUCGGGGCUUGAUCUUGAAUUGGUGAUUGUUAAUCAAAGGGCCGUCGGGGCUUGAUCUUGGAAGAACGAUGAACGAAGAACGAAGAAGGCUUUCUUGAUUCUUCGGGAUGAACGGAUGAUGAACAAUGAACACUUUCUUCAAGGGCCAUCGGGGCUUGAUCUUGAAUUGGUGGAAGUUCUUCAGGGCCUUUGGGGCUUGAUCUUGAAGGUGGAUGAUUGUUGAUCCAAGGGCCGUCGGGGCUUGAUCUUGGGAUGAACAGUUGUGUGGAUUUGUUGAACACUUUCUUCAAGGGCCGUCGAUGCUUGAUCUUGAAUUGGUGGAAGUUCGUCAAGGGCCGUUGGGGCUUGAUCUUGAAGAAGGAUUUGACGAAGAACGAAGAGAGCUUUCUUGAUCCUUCGGAAUUUGCUUGAAUUUGGGAGGUUGGAUGCUUGAAAGCUUUAGAGUUUCAAAGCUUCAAGGAUUUUGGAUGUGUGGGGAGUAUUCUCUUACAUUUUGGGAGUAGAGAAAUGUAUUUGUGAAUUGGUUUUUGAUACCUUGAUGUAGAAGCCUAUUUAUAGGCUUUGAGAAUGAAUCACCACCACAAAAUAUUUUUUUCUUUUCCAAGCACCAUUGCCUAAUUUCCCACUUAAUACAAUUUUAAACUUGAAGUGGUAAUUUUAUGGCCUAAUUUUCCACUUAAUAUCAUUUUAAACUUGAUAUGUGCAUGCUUUGUCAUUGCCCAAAAUGAGAAGAAAACCUUGUUUUGAUCUUCAAUGGAUUGAAAUGUGCUUUGCCUUGUCAUUGCCCAAAAUGAGAAGAAAAACUUGUGUAAUCCUCCAAGGGUAUUUCUUUUUAUUUUGUUGAGUCACACACCAUGUGUACAAUUUGUAUGACACGUGGCAUAUGCCAUAUAUGCCUUGACACGUCAAAAUUUUAAUGCGUUGGUGAACAUUUAUUUCACCGCAAUUUCGAUGUCUACAAUUUCAUUUCUUGUGAAUAAUGUUUAUCCUGUGUUCUGUCCAAUCGCGUAUUAAAAAAUGUGUGAAGUUUGGAUUAACCACACUCUUUUAGAAUUUCCUUUAUUUACCACUUUUUGAGAAUUUCCAAUAAGACUGGGUGAGUCUCCGCUGAGAAUUUCCUCAACUAACACCACACUACUUGAGGGAUAAUUUGUUAUAUCUUUGAAUAAAGAAUAAAACAGUUUCCUACUUUUGAAGGUACUAUUAACUUACACUAUAUUUGGAUGAAGGUCAAACUUUAUAAAUUGACAUACACCAAAUUCUUUGUUUGGAUUCAUAAACAUAUAAAUUUAGAAUUUCCGCGUGGAAAAAAAAAAUACUUAGAAUUUGAGACCUCCAAUUCUCAAAUUGAAAGUUUAAAAAUAAUAAAUUCCGUAUUCAAUUCAAUUGUUCUUUUAGGUUAACCAAAUAAGAAAAUUCACAAAUUCUAAAAUAUAAAAUCUCAUCAUUUCAAUUUCCGUCAUUUUAAAAUUCCUUAGUAAUAUUAAAUUUCUUCAUCCAAACAUAGUGUUAAGAAAUUUUUUAAAGAUACACUAUUUACACUCAUUUUUAUUUCUUACACAUUUAUUAACUUUGUCCAUUGAUUUCUUCAAUUCAUUUUGCCAGUUAUACAAAAAUUGAGAACAGUAUUUAUGAAUUAAAAAUACAUUUGUAGAUGUCACUACCAAAUUUUUAUUCCUAAUUCAAGAAAAUCUUAUCCAUAUAUGAUUGCCCUUGCCCACUUUAAAUGGGUGCCAUCACUUUACGAUAGAGCAAUCCUAACCGUCCACCUAGGUAAGCAUAACUGGCGAUGCAUGUCGCAAGGGGACCGCAUUGCACAAUAUAAUUAUACUAGUUGAUAAGACAAGUGAUGUCAAUCAAUAAAUUAUUUCAUUAAAACUUAGUUGUAUGUAUCAUAUGUUGUAAUGUAGGGUGUAUGAUAUGCUGACGCUGUAAAAAAAUGUAACCUUUUUAAUAUUACUCAUAAUAGUAAGACUUACCAGUAUUAGGAUGUUAUCAGUGGAAUGAGAAUCCUCUCCAGAUCUUUUUUGUGAGCUAUUAUUUGUAUUUAAUUUUAAAUAUAAAAAAUUAAAAUAAUUUAUGACGGCAGUGAUUCACAUGAUCUUCACAAAGAGAAUCCAAAUAAUCUUAAUUUAUAUCAGUGUGUCUAGAUAACAUGAUCGAGCCCCUUUACUUUUACCCUAUUUAGUAUUUUACAUUUGAACCUGUAAAUAUUCGAUUUUUCUUUGGUGCAACCGAGCACCAAAUAUAGAUUUUUUUUCACUUUUAUAUAAUGAUAAAUAAAGGGCAAUUGGCAGAUUUGAAUUCCAUUCGGAUUGGUCAAAAAUCAUUUUAAAUUGUUUUAUUUAAAAUUAAACACAUAUAGUACUUAAUAAAAAUUAGUCGUACAAUAUACGAUAAACAGAUAUAAUGUAAGGACCUUUAUGAUCUUCACAAAAAAGAUCCAAAGGUUGUGUAGCUGUUUCAAAAGGAUAAUACUCACUUUUGAUUAGUUCAAUGAAAUUUUAAACAUGUUUUAUUGUUUUAAAAAAUAAUAAACAUAUUUAUUAAUGUUUGUUUUACUUUAAAAAAUAAGCAGCACUUGACAACAUUUGAUUGUGCUAAAUAAAAAAUGAGUGACCACUUAGUACUACAGUCUUAUGAUAUUUUUCUUCAUUUGAAAGUGAGAGGUUUUAAGUUCGAAUCUCGUGGAUGACGAAUUUGAUAUCAAAUUAGAUUGCUCACUAUGUGGCUUAGCCGAACUCUCAUUUCCUUUAAUGUAAAAAUAUUGAUGUAUUCAAAAAAAUAAAAAGUGACUAUAGAGGACACUCAAUCUCAGCUGUAUGAUUAAAUCAGACGGUAAGAAAAAUUCUGCAAGCAUACUCGGUUACAUUAAUUGAAGAAAAAAUGGGUAAAUAUUGGGCACCAACGUUAUAAAUACCCUCCACCAUGCACCCAACUCCCUCACACCAUCACAACCCACGUUACAAAUCCUCCUCCUCAUCAUAACCAUUCUGUUUUCCGCAUAAUAUCCAAAAACCUAUCAUGUCUGAAGAGAAACACCACCGCGGUCUCUUCCACCACCACAAGGAUGAAGACAAACCCUCAGACUACCCUCAGUCUGGCUACUCUGAUGAAGGACGUCCCGGCGGCCUCGGUGGUGGUUACGGCGACACCAAUGAUUAUUCUGGUGAAGGACGUACCGGCGGCCUAGGUGGUGGCUAUGGCGACACCAAUGCUUAUUCUGGUGAAGGACGUCCCGGCGGCUAUGGCGGCUAUAACGAGACCACUGCUUACUCUGAGGAAAGAGUUGAAAGACCCGGCGGUGGCCGGUACAGUGAGACUACUGCGGCAUAUGGCAGCACCACCACUCAUGAAUCUGAACUUGAUUACAAGAAGGAGGAGAAGCACCACAAGCAUCUCGAGCACCUCGGCGAGGCCGGUGUAGCUGCUGCCGGCGCUUUUGCCUUGGUACGUAUUGUAUUUUAACCCACCUCUAUAUAUAUAUAUAUUAGAAUAAUGCUAAUAAGACCAAAUUUUGAAAACUAAAUGAUGUGGUUGUUGAUAAUGAACUUAUUACUCAAGUCUUGAUUAACAUGCUUAUUUUCUAAUAGUGACACAUUAUUUGGUUUAGAAAUUUGGUCUUCCUAACUUUAUCAUUCUCAAAAUUUUCAUGAUUUUGAUAGGGUAAUACGGGAGAUCAAAAUUUCUAAACCAAAUUUGCAAACCAAUAGAUGAUUGGAUUAUUAAUUAAGUAUCGAUUGUUUGUUUCUUAUUAACGACAUAUCAUUUGAUUUACAAUUUAGUUAAAAAAAAUUUAUUCUUUCUGUCAUAUCCUUUUGAAUAUUUGAUCACUUUACUCUUUAUCACUUUACCCUUGAUCACUUUACCCAUACUCUUGCAACCGAAUCACCGUCCUCCUCCUUAACCUUCAUUUUUUUGUCUUACAGUACUCCAAUCUAUCAACUCUGUCCAUUGCAACUUUAAUUGUGAAGAAAAUUAAAGUCCUAUCGUAAAAUUAAUUAGUGAUAUGGAGAGUUGCGCAAUUAUUGAUGGACUAGGUAGGUAAGAUACGGAAUCAAAGUCUACCAUUAACAAUGGACGGAAUUGAUGAACCAUAUAGGUAUGUAAGAUACGGAAUCAAAGUCCUCAUGUAAAUGGUACAGUUGCAAUCAGGAGAAGAAAUGAGUUAACUGAUACCUUCGUAAUAGUUCAUGUAGAGUUUUGAUAUUAUUAAGCCUUAACCACCUGAUCUUAUAUAUACGAGGACAAAUCUAAUCAAAUAUGUGUUAAUUUCAAGGUUUGUUUUACAUUGAUGUGAGAUCGAUGCUAGCAAGAUAUAUAACUUAUGUCAGUUUCUAUAUGAUGUGUGUAGCAUGAGAAGCACAAUGAAAAGAAAGACCCAGAGCAUGCCCACAGGCACAAGAUAGAAGAGGAGAUUGCUGCAGCAGCUGCAGUUGGUUCGGGUGGAUUUGCCUUCCAUGAGCAUCAUGAGAAGAAAGAGACAAAGGAAGAAGAGGAAGAGGCUUAUGGAAAGAAGAAGCACCAC